rnacentral:rRNA from 1 species
GNAUUUAUUGGGCGUAAAGCGAGCGCAGGCGGUUAGAUAAGUNUGAAGUUAAAGGCUGUGGCUUAACCAUAGUAUGCUUUGGAAACUGUUUAACNUGAGUGCAGAAGGGGAGAGUGGAAUNCCAUGUGUAGCGGUGAAAUGCGUAGAUAUAUGGAGGAACACCGGUGGCGAAAGCGGCUCUNUGGUCUGUAACUGACGCUGAGGCUNGAAAGCGUGGGGAGCAAGCAGGAUUAGAUACCCUGGUAGUNCACGCCGUAAACGAUGAGUGCUAGGUGUUAGGCCCUUUCCGGGGCUUAGUGCCGCAGCUAACGCAUUAAGCACUCCGCCUGGGGAGUACGACCGCAAGGUUGAAACUCAAAGGAAUUGACGGGGGCCCGCACAAGCGGUGGAGCAUGUGGUUCAAUUCGAAGCAACGCGAAGAACCUUACCAGGCCUUGACACCCCUCUGACCGCUCUAGAGAUAGAGUUUUCCUUCGGGACAGAGGUGACUGGUGGUGCAUGGUUGUCGUCAGCUCGUGUCGUGAGAUGUUGGGUUAAGUCCCGCAACGAGCGCAACCCCUAUUGUUAGUUGCCAUCAUUGAGUUGGGCACUCUAGCGAGACUGCCGGUAAUAAACCGGAGGAAGGUGGGGAUGACGUCAAAUCAUCAUGCCCCUUAUGACCUGGGCUACACUCGUGCUACAAUGGCUGGUACAACGAGUCGCAAGCCGGUGACGGCAAGCUAAUCUCUGAAAGCCAGUCUCAGUUCGGAUUGUAGGCUGCAACUCGCCUACAUGAGGUCGGAAUCGCUAGUAAUCGCGGAUCAGCACGCCGCGGUGAAUACGUUCCCGGGCCUUGUACACACCGCCCGUCACACCACGAGAGUUUGUAACACCCGAAGU